rnacentral:lncRNA from 1 species
GAUCCAUUCUUCCGGAAUUGGAUAGAGAAUAGUUGGGAUAUUCCACUGGGAGGGAGAGGCGGGGGUGACAUCAGAAGUAGGAUCGUCGAACGGAUAGCUGCAUAACAUUGAGAAUUGACUCGUCGGAUUAACCACUUAGACGGAGAGUUCCCCAUAUUCCAUUUCAUUGGCAACCGAAAUAGAUCUAAACAGCGUGCCCGGAGCGAAGGAAGGGCUUCAAAAAUGAUUUGAAAAGUAAAAUCAAUGAAAGGCCCAGAUGUAGCCUUUGUGUGCGGAGCAAGCCUACACUGGCUGAGAUGAAGAAAAUGUCGACACCGAUGAAAUGUUUGAAAACAUAGACAGCGGAAGGGAAGAAGUCACUCUCAAUCCGAUCUAGCAAGAAAUGCUAUACCGAUAAAGUCAAGCGAGAGAGCUCAUUAAGAAAGAAGGCCAUCUUCCAUCCGCCUUUUUGUUUUAGAUAGGGCGAGGCUAGUACGAGACUCCGAACCAGGAUCUUGUCUUAGGAAAUAGAAUGGGACGGGAGGCCUAUCUGACCUUUUGUUUGAUUCCAUUUUCCAACCCUUUCUUUAGAACCAACCUGGAAUGCAAACAAGGAAGGAAAGGGCUGAAAUCUCCAUAUCUGAUCCAGCAAAAAAAACCUGACCUUAGCAGUGAUAGAGAUAGCAUAGCUGUAGACAGGGGGAGGGCCCGGAUUACCUUUUCUAUUAGAAUAAGGAAGGGAAUCGCUUUGAUUGCUUGCGACAGCUUAUCGAUGCUCGUUAGCGGUAAAGUCCCUCAAACCAGAAGUUUCAAAAGCGGGCCUACGAGAGAAAUUUACUUUACAUACUGAUAUCGCAUACCGAAGGGAAGGCCUAAUUGUACCACUCCCCCUGACCUUCCGCCUGAACUGAUAGAAGUUGGCUUGAGCUGAGCGUCUCUU